CGGUGCUUGCACUGGUCAAUCUAGUGGCGAACGGGUGAGUAACACGUGGGUAACCUGCCCAUCAGAGGGGGAUAACAUCCGGAAACGGAUGCUAAAACCGCAUAGGUCUUCGAGCCGCAUGGCUUGAAGAGGAAAAGAGGCGCAAGCUUCUGCUGAUGGAUGGACCCGCGGUGCAUUAGCUAGUUGGUGAGGUAACGGCUCACCAAGGCCGUGAUGCAUAGCCGACCUGAGAGGGUGAUCGGCCACAUUGGGACUGAGACACGGCCCAAACUCCUACGGGAGGCAGCAGUAGGGAAUCUUCCGCAAUGGACGCAAGUCUGACGGAGCAACGCCGCGUGAGUGAAGAAGGUUUUCGGAUCGUAAAACUCUGUUGUUAGAGAAGAACAAGUGCUAGAGUAACUGUUAGCGCCUUGACGGUAUCUAACCAGAAAGCCACGGCUAACUACGUGCCAGCAGCCGCGGUAAUACGUAGGUGGCAAGCGUUGUCCGGAUUUAUUGGGCGUAAAGCGAGCGCAGGCGGUUCCUUAAGUCUGAUGUGAAAGCCCCCGGCUCAACCGGGGAGGGUCAUUGGAAACUGGGGAACUUGAGUGCAGAAGAGGAGAGUGGAAUUCCAUGUGUAGCGGUGAAAUGCGUAGAUAUAUGGAGGAACACCAGUGGCGAAGGCGACUCUCUGGUCUGUAACUGACGCUGAGGCUCGA
rnacentral:rRNA from 1 species